GCCAGUGUGGUGUAGUGUUUUGGGCAUUUGACUAGGACUCUGGAGACCAGGGUUUAAAUCCCAGCUUGGCCA